AUUGAACGCUGGCGGCAGGCUUAACACAUGCACGCCGAACGAGUGGCGGACGGGUGAGUAAUGUCUGGGAAACUGCCUGAUGGCGGGGGAUAACUACUGGAAACGGUAGCUAAUACCGCAUACCAUCGGAUUUGCCCAGAGUGGAUUAGCUAGUAGGUGGGGUAACGGCUCACCUAGGCGACGCUCCCUAGCUGGUCUGAGAGGAUGACCAGCCACCCUGGAACGGAGACACGGUCCAGACUCCGACGGGAGACAGCAGUGGGUAAAAUUGAACAAUGGGCGCAAGCCUGAGGCAGCCAUGCCGCGUGUAUGAAGAAGGCCUGCGGGGUGUAAAGUACUUUCAGCGGGGAGGCAUUACCCGCAGAAGAAGCACCGGCUAACGCCGUGCCAGCAGCCGCGGUAAUAC
rnacentral:rRNA from 1 species